CUUUACUGUAUGGGACAGGAAGGCAGCUGGCUUGCAUGCUCUCACACACACAUCCAGAGGGAAAUAAUGGUGCACAGAUACUUCUAGGAACUGGGAACAAACAAGCUGUCCAUGUGUUCACACUUUGGCAGCAGAUACAUUCUCAACUAAGGACUUUUUUAAGUUAACUUGCUUUUGUUAUCAUUGAUCCCUUUUCUUUAUUUCUACAAAGUUUUGAAAGGUUGUAAACAUGGGGUGCUCCUCUUCCAGUGCACAGACUGUGGACCAAGAAAAAAGACCAGGCACAAAGCCUGAGGAGUUCAAUGGCAGCACAGAAGCUUUGAAAAAUGGCUUCAUUGCAGAAGAUGCUCAAACCAUUGAGGACCAAAUGCAGUUGCCAGUGCAGACUGCCAUACCAAAUGGUUUACAACUGGGUACAGAGGAUGUGAUGGAGGUUGUGUUGGUGGCCCUUGAAGCCCAGGAGGAUCUUGGUUCUGGGGAGGAUCUCAUAGCUGCUUCAGUGUCACAGGAAGAACCUGCAGCUCUUGAAAAGCCACCUGUGGAGGUUGCAGUUUUGGCUCCAGAAGGGGAUGCUGUUGAAGUGGAGGUUGCUGUGGCAGCAGUUGAAGCACCUUCAGUGGAGGAAGAAGCUCCUGUAGAAACUGGACUGAUGGAAAGCACAGAUAUUGUUGAACCCUCUGCUGAUGAAGAUGUGGAGGCAGUGCAUGAAGAGGCUCCUUCUCUGAUAGAAACACUAAUGCCAUCAGACACAGUAGCUGAGGUCCAGGCCAAAGUGGAAGUAGCUACUGAGCCCUCACAGGAGAUAGUUGCUGAGGCUUCAACAGAAGAAGCUCCUGUAGCUUCUUCAGAAGUAGAGGCCGAAACCUUGAAUGAAGUAGCCGCUGAAGUUCCUACAGAGGAAGCUCCUGUGGUUCAUACAGAGGAACCUACGGAUGUUCCUAAAGAAGAAGAAGCCCAGUCUCCUCCAGAAGAAGCUCCUACCGAUACCUCCAAUGAAGAAGAAGCUCAGGUACCUCCAGAGGUAGCUCUUACAGAGCCAGCUCCUGUGGCUUCUUCAGAAGUACUGGUUGGUUCCUCUGAAGUAGCUCCUGUGGCUCCUGCAGAAGAAGCUCCUGUGGCUCCUGCAGAGGAAGCUCCUGUGGCUCCUGCAGAGGAAGCUCCUGCGGCUCCUACAGAGGAAGCUAUAGAUGCUCCUACAGAAGAAGCAACUGAGGCUACCACAGAAGUAGCUGCUGAGUCUCCAGCAGCAGUUGUCACUGAGGGUUCUGUGGAAGUAUCUGAUGACGUUUCUAAGAACCAAGUUAAAGAAGCUCAACCUCCAGAAUCUUCUGCAGACAUGGCCUUAUCAACAGCAGCUGAGGUAUUGGUAAAAGCUCCAAAUGCUACAGAGAUGAACGCAACUGACGAUUCAAGAGAAGGUGAAGUAUCAACUACCUCGGUGGAGUCUUCAGAGACUGCUGAAGCUUUGAGAACAUUAAUAGACCCCCAGAUUGCUGCAGCGACUGUUCCUAGCCUGGCUGCAGUGAUGGCAGAGGUAGCAUCAGAAGCCAACGUUCCUCCACAAGAAGAGCCAACAAAUGGGACCUCAGCAUCCACUACAGACGUGCUCGUCCCAGUACCCGAGGCCCCGUCAGGACCAGCCAUUGACACAUUGCUGCCUUCAGAACCUCCAGAGGUGACCCUGGCAAUGGAGAGUCCUCAGAGUAUGGAAAUCGAGAAAGCCAAAAAACACGAUUGAGAUGAAAGGAAACCUUGACCAAAGGAACAACUGGUAACCUCCCAAAGAAGACUGGAAAUAACUCAAGGUGACAGGAUGCUGCGAAAGCAGAAAAGACACUAAUUUUUCAUCUUUUACUCAUGAACACUUACUAGUAUGGACAUCAGGAACGCUAAUGCUCAUGUGCCUUAAGGUCUUGUAUUUUUAAAGAGCAUUUGUAUUGAAACUCAGAGACAUCCAGUGCCUCACUGCCACAUGUCACACAUUAGCGCUACUGCAUGAAAACCAAGCUAAGUAGGAAUCUUUGACCAUUGUAGGAAUAAUUAGGUGAUGUGGUACUUAUUUUUCUAAACUCUUUGAUAACAAUAGGAAUGUAAAAUAAUUAAUUCCAUCUUCAAAAGCAUAACUACCAUCCCUAAACGCAGGGAUUGUGUUCAUUGAUUUAGGACUGAGUGCAAUGUUUGGGCAUAUAUAUAUAUUUUUUUUUAUUUAGGGAAUGGGAAGGGAUAAACUCAACUGUGAUUUUAAACCUAUUUUGUUUGUAUGAUUCUUUCUGAAGCCAUUAACCUUGGCUUAAACACUGCUUUUUGGGACAAUAAGCCAAACAAUCUAUGCAGGGCAUAAAGUGACAGGGAUACCAAAACUGGAGGUCUGUGAAGUUAAUACACCAGCAAGUAGUUUUUAAGUCAACAUCAAGUAUUUUAAAGGUCAAGUUGUCAGAAAAAUGCACAUUUUGUACAUUAGUGUUUGUGUUUUAGAGGCGAGGCCUUACUGAGUAAUACUGCACCCAUUACAGCAAUAGUAAAAUCAGAAAUUACUGUGAUGUAGGUUACGUGAAGAUUUGUGUUUUGUGUUAAUCAAUAUGUGAUCACAUGACUAUGCAAAAGAUUAUUGCUCGUGUGUUCGUUAAUUGUUGGAGAAAGCCAUUUUUGUCCAGCUGUGAGCAGCUGGUGGGUGUCUGUUGAACAUGGGGUCAAACUUAGUCAUUCACAUUUAAGGAGAUUUAUUCUGAAAUUACUUCAAACUGAGAUGCAUUUUGCCUUUAGUCUUUGGCAUUGCUUUUAGUUGCAAAGCUUGACUCAGCUUGAUUUAAAUAUGAGCUGAAGUCACUCAGAAUAGUUUAAUUUACACUUCUUUGAGAGUCUUUUCAUGGAAACUAAUAGACUCAUUUGCCUGUUUUAAUCCACUUUGUGAUUUGUUUGGGCUUUCAGUAUUAACAAUGAAUAAUGACAGUAGUUUAUUAGCCUCUGUCUUACCAAAGAACAACAUUUGGACCACAACACAAGUGUAGCCAGCCAGGACAAAGCCUAGUAUUUUGCCUUUGAAUUAAUUAAAAGUUAAGGUGAUCAUUUUGGUUUAAUGAAUGCUGUGGGAACCCCAUAACCUUUUUUCUCUCUGUAAUAUAUAUUUUCUAUUGUUAUUAAGAACUUUUACUACUUUAUAGUGUACAGAAUAAAGUUUAUCUCACAAAGUGUGCUUGCUUCUGU
ensembl:lncRNA fibrous sheath CABYR-binding protein-like